AGUUCAACUGGAUACCUGCCUGCCGGCAGGCAGGGAAUAUCAGAUUUCGGCUCUGAUGGUUGCAGGUUCGAACCCUGCCGAGG
rnacentral:tRNA from 1 species